AAAUAUAUCUUUUCGAGUUUAUGUCAAAUGCUUACACUCCACCAAAAUGUGGCGCACCGUCAGAAGUCACUGAUAGUGUUCACUGAGGUGAAGGAUCUUUCUUCAAGAUAAAUGAAUGGGUCAAGUAAGUAUGACCGAUGAGAGCACGACACAAGACAAUUUCAUUCUUCCUGCACUGCCAAUAGGAGGACUGCCACUCUCCCAAGAAUGGCUUGAUAGCAUGAAGCUUGUUCGCAACUGCACCGUCCCAAACAUGUUGCCAAGUCGAAAAGAUAAAUUGGUUGAUACUAUCGUCGCUGAACUAAGAAAACCUCGUAUGUGCAGUUUUUGCGAUUUUCACUUUUUUAUUCUUUCAGAAGCAGAAAUCUGUUAUCUUUUUGUUGUCAAAACCGUGUACAUGUACAGGCAAUGGAAAGUAUGGAAAAUGUCAAAUAAGUAAAACACGUAUUUGAAAACCACUUGAUUAUUUUUAUCCUCAUCAUAUUUCAACCUUUUCUAUCGGGUAAAGGUAAUUUUUUAGUGACCAAAGUGUCUAUAUUGUAUAUAUGUACAUAUUAUGUAUUCAACUGGUAGUCAAGGAAACGCUAUCACACCAGAAAAGAAGUGUAGGCCCACCAGGUAUUUCCGUAUUUAAGGUCCAAGCUUAAAUACCAAAAAAAUACAA